UGGGGAAUAUUGGACAAUGGGCGAAAGCCUGAUCCAGCCAUGCCGCGUGUGUGAAGAAGGUCUUCGGAUUGUAAAGCACUUUAAGUUGGGAGGAAGGGCAUUAACCUAAUACGUUAGUGUUUUGACGUUACCGACAGAAUAAGCACCGGCUAACUCUGUGCCAGCAGCCGCGGUAAUACAGAGGGUGCAAGCGUUAAUCGGAAUUACUGGGCGUAAAGCGCGCGUAGGUGGUUUGUUAAGUUGGAUGUGAAAUCCCCGGGCUCAACCUGGGAACUGCAUUCAAAACUGACUGACUAGAGUAUGGUAGAGGGUGGUGGAAUUUCCUGUGUAGCGGUGAAAUGCGUAGAUAUAGGAAUGAACACCAGUGGCGAAGGCGACCACCUGGACUAAUACUGACACUGAGGUGCGAAAGCGUGGGGAGCAAACA
rnacentral:rRNA from 1 species